GAGCCCAUGGAAAGAAUGAGGUGGUGCCACUGGCUACUCAGGGGCCCACAAGAGGAAAUCUUCAACGAAGACUUCUUCCCUGAGCCAUGUAGGGUCUGUGCUUUCAACUUGAGCUGCCGUGUGCAGAGAAAACCAGUGCCCAGCAUGUAUUACCUCUGUGUGCAGUUCAAAGAGAGGCAAAGGUUGACUUGGGUCCAGUCCCGAGUGUGAAUGUGCGGGGGCUCCACUCUUAGCCUCCAUGCCAGGAAACCUUCUCGGAGCCUGGCACCAGCUGUCGUCCAUCCUGAGCUACUUGAAGGGGCUUCUAGCUCCCCAUUCAUGGACUUGAGACUUGAUGCUGUGCUUUUUCCUCUUUUUGCUGCCUUGUCUCUGGCUUCAGCCUAGACUUGACAUUGCAAACUCUGGAGGAUAGUGGGGAAGGAAAAGAGCAUUCUCCACGGCCACCCAUCUAGGGAGGAAGCAGCGGCUGAAGUCCCCCUCCCUCAAGACUCCACCUUCCAUCCCCAAAGGGCUGACUAUCCUUCUAUCUAGUCGCAUCAACAAAGUCCCAUCUCCUUCCAUGCCACAGAACCUAUAACUGCUCACCAUUAAACAUUAUACCAUUGCACCCCAUUCCACCCACACUCUGCAGCUCCUUCUCUCUGACUCUCCAGAUGCCAUUUCAUCCCCAAGAUUUUGUACUAGUUAAUGCUAUUUUUCUAAAAUCUUCAAUCAUUCCCCUUUAUCUCUGUUGAAUGUAGCACUGCUUCUAGCCCUUACCCACCUCCCUGCCCCAGUCAUCUCUGCCCUGCCUUCGGCCAUAACACUCCAUCAUAAGUCUUGCACAUGAAAAAGUAUAAUGAAUAAAUAAUAAUAACUAGUUUGCUG